GACGAACGCUGGCGGCGUGCUUAACACAUGCAAGUCGAACGGAAAGGCCUCUUUCGGGGGGUACUCGAGUGGCGAACGGGUGAGUAACACGUGAGUAACCUGCCCUUGACUUUGGGAUAACUUCAGUAAACUGGGGCUAAUACCGGAUAGGAGCUCCUGCUGCAUGGUGGGGGUUGGAGAGUUUCGGCGGUUGGGGAUGGACUCGCGGCGUAUCAGCUUGUUGGUGGGGUAGUGGCUUACCAAGGCUUUGACGGGUAGCCGGCCUGAGAGGGUGACCGGCCACAUUGGGACUGAGAUACGGCACAGACUCCUACGGGAGGCAGAAGUGGGGAAUAUUGAACAAUGGGUGGAAGCCUGAUGCAGCAACGCCGUGUGCGGGAUGACGGCCUUCGGGUUGUAAACCGCUUUCGCUCAUGACGAAGCUUUGUGUGACGGUAGUGGGUAAAGAAGCACCGGCUAACUACGUG
rnacentral:rRNA from 1 species